GAGGUCCAGAUCAGGGGCCAUUCAGUACAAAGCGUUUUAUAUCUUGACUUAUGAGGGGACAAUAGUUGGUCUUACAAAGGCACCACCUGUGAUUUAGCAUUGUUGACAUCUUUGUUAAGGAGGAGCCGGAGGGCAGCGGCGAAACAGCACGUGCACGAUAAGGAAGGACCCCGUUACGGCGACCCACCUUCAAGGCCGUUUCGCGCCGUUGCUGACGCCUGGUCAGGUUUCCUGGCUUACAGAUUUUCGAAAGGGUGUGGGGAGAGAGAAAGGAAGUGAGCGUAGUACACGCUCGUGGAGCCAAAGCUCUUGGACUUACGGCUUGCCAGUGCCCAGCUGCUCCAUUUUACAGAUAGUGACAAUAUUUGUGCUUUCCCGGUGAUGUGUGAAUCAUGAGUUUAAACAGCAGUUCCCAUGGAAGAGAUCACAGGAAGAAACUAAACCAGAGCAUGCCUCAGCCCAGUGAUGACAUCAGAGAAGCCUCAGGCACAUCAUCCAAUCUCUGAGUACUGCUUUUCUACUAUGGGGAGAGAAAAUGAAGGUGGUCAUACUUGCCCUUUUCAUCAGGGAAAAUUACUUUAAAUUUAUAUGUGAAAUUAAUUAGUAAAUUGAAACUUAUGUUGUUAUUUUAGUCUUUGGCAUAUACCAGGGGUCCCCAACCCCCAGACCAGGAACCAGUACUGGUCGGUGGCCUGUUAGGAACUGGGCUGCACAGCAGGAGGUGAGCGGCAGACGAGGGAGAAUUACCACCUGAGCUCUGUCUCCUGUCAGAUCAGCGGCAGCAUUAGAUUCUCAUAAAAGCGCGAAACCUAUUGUGAACCACACAUGCGAGGGAUUUAGGUUGCAUGCUUGUGAGAAUCUAAUGUCUAAUGAUCUGAGGUGGAACAGUUUCACCCCAAAACCAUCCCUCCACACCUGUCUGUGGAAAAAUUGUCUUCUACGACACUGGCCCCUGGUGCCAAAAAAGAUUGGGGUCCACUGACAUAUAGGAAUAGCUCUAUAAAUGUUUGUUGGAUGACGUCUACAGUGCUAAUGAUCUCCAUGCACAAGGUUUAGGAAAUUGGGCUGAAUCAAUACAAAUCCCAGAUCAUACCCAGGAGGCGGAGGUUGCAGUGAGCCGAGAUUGUGCCAUUGCACUCCAGCCUGGGUAACAACAGCGAAACUCCGUCUCAAAAAAAAAAAAAAGAAAAACUGAUUAGUUUUCUUGAUACUAAAUUCCUCAUGUGAGCUUGUCUUGUUAGCACUAUCUUUCACAAACUGAGAUGUA
rnacentral:lncRNA from 1 species